rnacentral:tRNA from 7 species
GGGUGUGUAGCUCAGUGGACUAGAGCACGUGGCUACGAACCACGGUGUCGGGGGUUCGAAUCCCUCCUCGCCCG